GGGCUUCGGCGGGUUCAACGCGGUCGUCGCCUGAACAGCAGUCAGUCAGUCAGUCGCCUCUGGCCCGUCGCACGGCCGCCAACCUCUUUUCUCCGCUCCGUCUUUCUGUCUGCCUCUCUCUCCUCGAUCUAUCUCCAUCUCGCACUGUUCGUGUAUACACAUGCAAUAAUCCCGCGAACACACGUAUAUAUAUCCUUCUCCGGAAUAGCCUCGCGCGUGCGGCCCUUUGUACCCUAUCUCGUGUCGUCCGCAAUAAGGUGUGUACAGCGCACACGCGAGUACAAAUCAAAUUGCUGCUGCAGCAGCAGUGUGUUCCCGACGUCGAGGGGGGGCAGAAGAAGAAGAAGUCGCGGAGCUACGCUACAACAUCGCCUGGCUGUAUGCUCUGGGCUUAUCAUGCGGAUGAGAGCCGUCGCAGCGUAGAGAGAGAGACGCCCGCCCGUCCUGUCUCCGUAAACAGCUCCGGUGUACAAGUGUGUGUGGGGCGGCGGAUGUGCUGCUGCUGCUGCUGCUGCUGGAGGCUGUCUACUCCGGAAUAUGAAAUAUAAACUCCAGCCGUCAUUCAACAACAAAGAUUUGUAAUGACACAGACUGAAGCGCACGAACGCGAUCCAGCCGUAGUCGUAGCAGUAGCAGUAGCCCGCGCUGCCUAACGGACUUGCCGCCAGCGCGCGAGAAAAUGGACCACCUGCAGCACCUGCAGCACCAGCAGAACCGGAAGCAGAUGGUCUCGCCAGACGUGGCGCUGGCCAGCGAGGUCUUCGACCAGUUCUGCAACGCCACCACCCUCAAGUCCAUCCUCGGGCACUUCCGACACCUCUGCGACCUCCUCAAGAUUAAGCCGACGAACUUUCAUCAGUUCUACCCGAAGCUCAAGUCCAAGCUCAGGUCGUGGAAGGCUCAGGCACUCUGGAAGAAGUUCGACCAGAGGGCCAAUCACAAGUGCUACAACCGCGGCAAGGCAUGCCUCAACACGAGGGUACUGAUAAUCGGGGGCGGGCCCUGCGGCAUGCGCUCGGCGAUCGAGGCCCAGCUCCUGGGCGCCAAGGUCGUGGUGGUGGAGAAGCGCGACCGGAUGUCGCGGAACAACGUGCUCCACCUCUGGCCGUUCGUCAUCCAGGACCUGCGCGGCCUCGGCGCCAAGAAGUUCUUCGGCAAAUUCUGCGCCGGCUCGAUCGACCACAUCAGCAUCAGGCAGCUGCAAUGUAUCCUCCUCAAGGUCGCCCUAAUCCUCGGCGUCGAGUUCCACGAGAACGUCAGCUUCGAGCAGCUCGUGCCGCCGCCUGAAGAUCAGGAGGGAGGAAAAAUCGGCUGGCGAGCGAAAACGGUGCCGGCCGACCACCCGGUCUCGCAGUACGAAUUCGACGUGCUGAUCGGCGCGGACGGCAAGCGCAACACCCUCGAGGGCUUCAAGCGCAAGGAAUUCCGGGGCAAGCUCGCAAUAGCCAUCACCGCCAACUUCAUCAACAAGCGCACCGAGGCCGAGGCCCGCGUCGAGGAGAUCAGCGGCGUCGCCUUCAUCUUCAAUCAGAAGUUCUUCAAGGAGCUCUACUCCGAGACGGGCAUCGAUCUCGAGAACAUCGUCUACUACAAGGACGACACGCACUACUUCGUCAUGACUGCCAAGAAGCACAGCCUCAUCGACAAGGGCGUCAUUAUCCAGGACCACGCAGACACGGCGAAGCUGCUGGCGAAGGAGAACGUCGACCGGGAGGCCCUGAUGCUGUACGCGCGCGAAGCCGCCGAAUUCUCCACCGAGUACCAGAUGAUGGACAUGGAGUUCGCGGUGAACCACUACGGCCAGCCGGACGUCGCCAUGUUCGACUUUACGUCGAUGUACGCCGCGGAAAACGCGAGUCGGGUGCUCGAGCGACGAGGACACCGACUGCUCAUGAUCCUCGUCGGCGACAGUCUUCUCGAGCCUUUCUGGCCGACGGGUUCCGGUUGCGCCCGCGGCUUUCUCAGCUCAAUGGACGCUUGCUGGGCCAUCAAGGAAUGGGGCGCCUCGCUUACGCCCCUCGAGGUGAUAGCGGAGCGAGAAUCCAUUUACAGGCUGCUCGGGCAAACGACGCCCGAGAACCUCAACAGGGAUUACGCUGCCUACACUCUGGACCCCCACACAAGGUAUCCGAAUCUAAACGUGCGCUCUGUAACUUCGGCCCAAGUACGAAGUUUACUCGACACCGACGACCCGGAAACUUUCAAAUUGUCGCCGGUGCAGACUGCCAUCGACUUGCCCAAGAAGCGGAGGAGAAAAGAUUCACAAGUGCAUCCGGACACGUUGCUGCACUGGCUGCAGCGGCAGGUCGCCUUAUACGAUGGCGUGCGUAUCCACGACAUGGGUGUCUCGUUCAAGAGCGGUCUGGCUAUCGCCGCAAUCAUCCAUCGCUACAGGCCCGAUCUCAUAGACUACCAUGCUCUCAAGAAGGACGACCCCGUAACUAACAACCAGGUCGCCUUCGAUAUCCUCGAGAAGGAACUCGGCAUCCCUGCGAUAAUGACGGGCGAGGAGAUGGUGCAGUGUGAGGUACCGGACAAGCUGACUAUGUUCUCGUACCUGACACAGAUUUACGAGGCGUUUCGUGGAGAAAUACCACAUAUUAAACACCCGAAACUGGAACCAGAGACUGAGGACAGGCCUACGUUUUCACAAAAGCUGAGCGAACUCACGGCUGAGCAAAAGGCCCACCUACUCGGUCGAAUAACGAAGCAGGACGUGCCGGGAACUCGAGCCAGGAGGUCGAGGCACGUCAACGAGAAUCUGCCGCUGCCGAUGGACAAGAAACCGUCCGCGGAUACAUUGGCGAGAAGGCACGCGCGUAAGAGGAGAAGCACCGAGAAGAUGGGAGCUACUGUGGAGGAGCGCACGCAGCGUCUCCAGGACAUUGAGAAGAACCGCCUAGAGCGCAUGUUGCGUCGCCAGUACCAGCGCAAACGCGCCACCCAGCAGUUCUACAAGAGUAUGCAGAUGCUCCAGGCAAACGCGAAGCGUGACAAAGACGAGCCCUUCGAGGACUACUCGAUAUUUUUGUAUCGGCAGACUGCACCCGAUUUCAAGGACCGCGUCAAAGACCUUGAGCAGAAAAUACUCUACCCCGACCGAGAACCGAAACUCCACGCGGGCCACCAUCGAGGCAGUAUAGACGAAGGAUUUUCCGGCAGGAUAAAAAAUAUCGAGGAGAAACUGAAGGGAACCGCCGCUUCAGAAAAGAAACCCAAAGACUUAUUGCGUGCUAUCGGUAAAAUCGAGAAAACCGACUGGAACGUCAAGGAGAUCGAAAAGAAAAUCGAGGAGAACAAGAUGGGUCGCGGUGUGCGUCACGAUAGAGUUGAACGAGUGCCAAAGUGGAGUCGCGAGCAGUUUUUAGCUCGGCAGACGAAGAUGGAGAAGAAGGGCCGCGAGCCGAUGGAGACGGACAGUAAGUACGCGGACAUUGACAGUACCCUGAAGAGCAUCGACCGCAAGAUCAAAGAGGGUAAUGUGCUCGGGCACAAUAAGGUCUCGGCGAUGGCCGAGCAGUUCGCCAAUAAGAAUCAGGAGGUCGCCGCCGCGGCAUCCGCGGUCGAGCAGCCCAAGGUCCAGAGAUCGAACUCAAAGGCAGCAAUAACCUUGCCAGCCCAGGGCGGCUCGGAGAUGUGCCAUUUCUGCGACAAACGCGUCUACCUGAUGGAACGUCUCACCGCCGAGGGAAAGUCCUUCCAUCGCGGCUGCUUCCGCUGUGAAUACUGCUCGACUUCGUUACGAAUAGGAAAUCAUACGUUUGAUAGAGAUAAGAAUGGCGGGCGGUUUUAUUGUACUCAACACUUUGGUCUGCCAGGAACCAUGAAGACUAGAAUAGAAAAGAAGAAAGCUCCCCUUACGAAUAAAGAGAAUAUACCACAGACGUCCAAUAAUCAUAAGGCACAGGAUAAGGCUAAAAUAUCAUUGGAGGGCAUCUCGGGACUGGACCUGCUCGAUCGCGGCCAGACGCCUGAGCGCAUAGAGUUCGAAAAUCUUGCGGGCAUAUCGGACGCCGAGGAGGCUCAGAGCAUAAUGGACGAGGACGAAUGGACGGACCGCAAUUUCGGACCCUCGGCCGCCGAGAUGGGCUCCAGUGAUGACAUCUCCGACAUGAGCGAUUCGGAUGAUGAUAACGAAGUCUUCGAGGAGGCUAUCGAUCAGCCUCUGACGACGGAGGGAACAUUGGAGCUUGCGAAAAAUUGGACUCUCCGCUACUCGCAUCCGCAUCCUGCGGCAGCUCACUCCGACACGGGAAGCAACGAGUACGAAGAUUCUAGUGACGAGUAUACGAGUACAGAGGAAGACAGCCAUACAGCGACGGAGGACGAGGAGGACGUUCGAGCUCGCGAGCUCCGCAAGAAGGAGGUCUGGUUGCAGGUGCCGCCGCGCAGCAGUGAUACCGAGACCGGCUCCGAGACCGAGAUCGCAUCGGACGAGGAGUCAUCGGAGGAGAGCGAGGAAAACUCGGCAACGGAGAUCUCAACCGACUCGGAGUUCGAGCACGACGGCACGACGCCGACGCAGCACGGUAUGCCUCACAUCAAUGACUCGUUCGUCAGGAAGACCAGAGGCGACUACGCCGAGCCGAAAAAGGUCCAGGUGAAGAGCAAGAUACUGUGGCCCGCGGGAGUGUCCUCCGUCAACGGCAACGUCGCCAAGAACAACGAGAACAGCAAUAAGAAGCAGCAUACGAAGCAACAACAGCAGACGUCAAAGCUGAACGCCUUGAACGAGCGACCGAGCAACGCCAAGAAUCGCGAGCCAAGCAACGAGCUCAACUCGAACCUCACGAGCAUCACUCAGAACUCCAAGAUCAUCACCUCGACUCCACUUAUCAACCCGCGUAAGGGAGAUUAUCUGCUGAACCGAACGCACUCGACCGAGGGCAUCGCCUCGAAGCUCUCCCUUGAGCUGAAGAAACGUUACCUCUUGGGCGGCUCGGGUCUCGGUGGCUCGGUCAUGAAGUCCGGAUCGACGUCGAACGUCGACACGCGACUGAGGAACCUCAGCGACGCCAUAUCCCAGCACCAGAAGCUUCUGAACCCCGCACCGGAGCCUAGUCCUACUAUGCAAGCGUUCCUCCAGGGACAGAACAAAUUGAGGACCGGAAGUACCGGAGGAAACCAGCCGGCGAUCUCGCCGCUCUCACCGUCGGUGCUUUUCGGCUCCUCGUCGCCCGUCAAAGCCUUUCCAUUCGAGAGAAAGGCUGCCCCGAGUUUGAACUCCACUGCCGCAAACUUCAACGCCAAAAACGUCCAAUUACCAGAUCUAAUAAAGGAAACGAGCAAUCUUAAAGACCUCGAAGUCGCCAAACCGCUGCCGUCCAAGCCCGCAAUAAUCGAGGAGAAGCCCUCGCCUACGGAGCCAUCCGAACCGCCCAAAGAACCUGAUAUAACGUCCCUGAAAAUCGAAACGCCCACACCGACCGUCGAGACGAGAACCGUCGAAGAUGUGCCCUAUCAGAACGGCGAUACUGCGCAGAGCAAUCAAAACGACCUCGAAAUGAGACCGCGAAGUCCGCUGCACGAGACCUCGAUAAUCGUACCCGAUAUCGACUGGAAGAAGACGAAGCAAGAGAACGAACAGCCGGAAAAGCUCGCGCGGACUCUCGGCGGAGAAAACGAUAUCGACAGUAGCGACACCUCCAGCGAGGACUCCGACGAGUUGGACAGCGACUCAUUGUCCACGAGCGAUGGUGAGGAGGAAGAGCAAGCGAAUAAGCUCAAGCAAACGAUUCCUCUCUCUCCUCCGAGACUUCAGAUCCACAGCACCGAGGGUGAUCUGCUGCUCGACGCGCAGGUCGAGAAACACCACGAGGAUGGAAUGACCUUCGAGCCUGACUCCAUCGAGUGUUCCUACCUCCUCGAAGACCCCAACAGACCACCCUCUCAUCCACCUUCGCCUCCACCAACCGCGCCUCUCAUCUUGCCACCAUCGCUGAAGGAGCUUGAGUCCGUCAACACAAGUCUCAAGCAGCUGCAGCUUCAAGAUGAACGCAGAGGUAGCCUAAGCCCGACGACAACGUCGCGCGCCUCCAGCAAGAACGACGACUCCGAGGAGAACGACGUGACGACCGCCGCUUACACCGAGACCGAGUUCUCCGAGUGGGCGCGCGAUGGCGACGACCUUGUUUCCGAGGAUUUGCGCGACGUCGAGUACGACAUGAACCCCGAAUUCCAAGGUAAGGGCAAGCGACCCUCCAACGACCGUAUGCUCGCCAGGAUGGCCAAUGGCGAAGAUCUGACGGACGUAGAGUUGGACUACUCCCAGGAGGAGAUGAACGCCGACAGAACGAACACACAGUAUCCCAGCACCAUCGCUUCAAAGAUGCUUGCGAACGGGGAGGAAGAUAUCGGCUUUAUGGAUACGGACAACGAGAGCCUGCUGGACGAGGACAGCCUGAAGGAGGUGUCGAGGCCGAAGAACCGCGGUUACAUCGAGUUCGUGAACUUCAAGGCGCCGCAGACGCCCGUCAAAUUGUCAUCCGGUAAAAGCAACGCGCCGAUCGCUAAAAGCGAGCUAGAGUACGACGAUGCCUCGGACGCCCAGACACCCUGUUGCGAGGACAACGUUAUCGAAUUCGCGCCGAUCACGAUGGAUGACGUUCGCGACAGGCUGAGGCACAAUCAAAACGGUCACGUUGUCAAUGGAAAUGGGAACAUGGUCUGUCAGAUUAAGAUCGCCGACUGCGAGAAGGACGAUCACGCGCUCGAGGUCGUGAACAAGGAUCUGAUGAGUCUUUCGAUGGAGGAGGACAGCUUGUUGAUCGUCGAGCCGGCUGAAGACACUACCACCAGUGAGGUGGUGACUAUAUUGGCCAGUCCGAAUAAUCCUACGGGUGGAAGCAUUGUGAGCUGUUCCAAGAACGAGGAUACGACCACGAGCGAGAACACCAAGACACCCGAACCUGCUCCAACGUUUGAAUACAUCAACAAAUCUCACGACGACGCCAACAACCCGGAUUAUCUCGAGUAUGUGAAACGCCUACAAUCCCGCAUCGCUGAAUUCAGCAACGCUAAGGACUCUAUCGACAUUCGCAAAUCCAAACGCAAGAGCUCGAAGCCUUCCACACUGCAGACCCGCACCGCCGAGAUGAUUGCCGAGGAAAUAAAGUGUCAGGCGACCACAGCUGGCUUGGGUAACGGUCUCAACUCCCCUGCGACAUCUCGUAAACUAGAGGAGAUAACUCGCGAAAGGACCAAGCAGAAGAGUCUCAUACAGGACUUGUUGAUGGACAAACUUGAGGCCCACAAGCAGAAAUCCGCUGAGAAGAAAGCAAAACGUGCGGCCAGAACUGCUUCGUUUACUCGACUAACUAGCAGUCCGCCCAUGAGGCCACCCGAAACACCAACUAAUUUCGUGCCAGCUUCGAUCGGCGAUGGCACGCCGCAAAACAAUUCGGCGAAGGGAGUUGGAGAGAUCAAGACCCAAGGCCAAACGAACGGUGAGCGACCGCUGUCCAUCUUUCGCGCAAUGAUUAUGGAUGAUUCAGUCUUCGACAAAUCUGCCCAGCAGCUCGACGAUUCCGUCUUCACGACCCCUUCUAAAGCCAGUAGUGCCAUGAAUUCGGAGUCCCGCGCUGAGAUUGACUUCAAGACCCCUAUAGCUCCUCCUCGUUUCAAGCACGAGGAGGCGCGCAAAACGGCGGAAAAAGCUCGACAAGAUGCUCGAGAGCGCGCACGGCUCAAAAGUGACGAGGACUUGGGUUUGAGUCCAGAGGACCGUAUCAAGGAAUUGCGCAUGAAAGUCUCGCGACGACAGCUCAAGUCCGAAACAGACGGCGAUACGCCCGCCAAGUCGGUUACCAAACGAUACAGCUUCGGCCUGCAUAAAUCUCCCUCGGGACUACACAACAAACUGCAGACGAGCAAGAGCACCGAUAACGUCAAGGCGAUGGCGGCUCGACGUGCCAAUAGCUCGUCCUCGGGUCAGGAAAGUUCCGUUACCGCUAAGAGCCUCGACGAGUUGUUGGGUUCAUCGGAUUCGCCUAAGGAGGAAGUGCAGAAGAGAGACAAGUCGAAGAAGCCUAAGGACCCGGAGAGAAGGAAGAGUAUUAUUCAGGCGGUCUCAGAUUUUUUCAAGAAGAAAGAUUCAUUGUCACCUCCGGGAAAAGAUGGGAGCAACAACAAGCUUUCCAUGUUCCGGCUAACACCCAAGUCAAAGGAGAAGGGAAAGUUGUUUAAAUCGUAUUCGGAUGGGUCAGAUCUCGACAAAUUGAAUCCGCAGUUCGACAAGAGGCCGAAGAGCGUCUGCGAGGGAAUGUUGAACGUCGGUAGCUUCUUCAUCGAAAGUCCACCGCCAGUACCACCGCCGCCGAUUAACUACACAAUGCCCACUAAUGUUUCUGAUGUAUAUGUCCUUCAAACAGACGACAGCCUGUCCGACGAAGAUUCGAAGACAGCUGCACUGUCUAUCUCGCAACUAAACAAAACUUCUAAUACGGCCGACGGCUCGUGCAAUAGUAUUCCGCGGAAAGUUAAAACUGCCAAGCGCAUGGCCAGACAAGCGCAGCUUAAGAGGUUGAGGAUGGCUCAGGAGAUUCAGAGAAAGCUCGAGGAAACGGAAGUGAAGCAGAGAGAACUUGAGAGCCGAGGAGUCAGCGUUGAAAAAGCUUUGAGGGGAGAAGGAGAAUGUUCUGAUCGAGAGGAAGCAGACUUGCUGCGCGAAUGGUUUGAUCUAAUGCGAGAGAGGACGGAACUCCGCAGAUACGAGAAAGAGUUGUUAGUGAGAGCCCAAGAAGUGCAACUCGAAGAUCGACAUGAUAGAUUGCAGCAAGAACUUCGCGAAAGAUUAGCCGAUGACGAUGAGAAGAAAACGAGCGCUGAUGUGAAGAAAGAAGGGGAGAUCCUAACGGAAAUGUUAGAGAUCGUAGCUAAGCGCGACUCGCUGAUAGCUCUAUUAGAAGAGGAGCGACAAAGAUUCCGUCACAAGUAUACUCCCCUUACUUAAAUCGAUACAGUAAAUUUGAAAAAGGGGCAGUGAUAAUCACUGUGAUCAAUCGUAGGAGUUCAUUAUACAUCUGCUUCUGUGUUGAAUCAUAACAGUCAAAACAUAAUACCCAAUCAUCAGAAACAUUUACAUGUCAGUGUCUCGCUGAAGUACCAAAAGAAAAAGGUGUCAUUGAGAACAUAUUAAAAGACAUAACGGGCAGAGGAUUGUUAGUGAAUACGCACGGCUUCGCUUACUUUUGCACUUCUGCGCAGUGCAUUUGAAAAACUUACUGGUACCAAGACGAAGAUCGAGACCUCGAAGCGCAGAUGCUAUCAAAAGGCCUAUUAAUGCCACCUGUGAACAAGCGCGGCUCCAAGUAUUCCGUUUAGUAUUUUAAACAGUAUUGCCUAUAUGAAGUCGUACCGUGUGUUCACACACCUUCGUCGCCGCAACUCACUCGCCCACAGAAAACUGCGCAAUUGAUUUGAAAGAUAAAGAAAACAGAAUAGCAGUACCGCCUUUUUGUGAGCUUUCCGCGUUCUCAAAUCUCCUGUUUCCUUCUUUAAAAAAUUAAGGAAAAAUUUUAUGUGCAGUAAUUUUUAUAUUGUCUUUGUCUUGCAAUGCGAACGACCUACGAACGAAUUUUUAUGAACCUAAGUCGAAAGAUAAUACUUGAACUUUAAACGACAACCGAUUUAGUUAGAUUUAAGAAAUGGAAAUGUUUGUGAAUAUGUUGCUGAACAAAUGGUACUACGUAUGAUUCAAUUGAAAAAGAUCAAAAUCAAAUGUUGCUCUCGAUAACCGAAUUUAGAGAUUAAAUGUUCAUGUAUUUAAAAUGGAAUUUUAUCUUGGUAUUAGAAACGUAAAUAUUCUAUAACUCGUAAUUUGUAGGGAGUGAGAGAAAAAAGUAAGCGUUAAGAAGAGAAUAAAUAUUUUUGAUGAAUAACGGAUGGAUACGAAAAAAGCGUGAUAUGUAUAUUCUGUGAAGUGACAAAACAAAAGUCUAUUUUUAUGUUUGCAAAGAGACUGGUAUAGUUAUUUAAAAAGAUAACAAAAAAUAUUGAUUGUUGUAAGGAGUAAUUAUGUAAGUCACUGUAUAGUCAAUUUUAUACGCAAAUGAUGAAUUGAUAAAGAUUGAAAAAGCAAGAUUUUUUGGUCUUUGACAAAAGAGAGAAUCAUAUAAUUGAAAUGAAGUGUUUUAUGUUGAUACACAAUCAAGAAAUUCGUCGAGAAUUGAUUUGAAUAUGUUAAAUAAACAAAAGACUUUGUUUAAAUUAACUGAUUUUAUUACGCUGUCAUUCCUUUGGGUAUACAUUCGUAGCUUUAGUUUUAAAUAAAGCAGUGAUAACUGGAAUUAAAGCGAUGCGCAUUGUGUGUCCGAUGUCUAUUCAAUGUCGAAGUGUCAAGUGGACUUGAAGUAAUCAUCAGUCUCGGUAACAGUGCUAAAUAGCAAUAAUUUACAACAUAAUAACUGGUCUAAUCAAUUUUAAUUUUAAACUUUUUUUAAAGCACCGGCGCUUAAUUAAAUGUAUGAAUGGAUUUAAUCAUGGAAAAUAUGAUAUGAAAAUUUAACGAUUAUUCCCGUUCGAACGAACGAUAUCACAUCGUCUCGUAAUAACGUAAUUCAUAGAUAUAAAACCUAGUCCAAUAAAUAAAAGUCAUAAUAGUUUCUUUUUGUGGAAUAGAAUAUAAAUUUGUUGCCCAACAAAAAUAAACGUCAAAUUUAAUACUAGAUAAUCUAUACAUUAAUAAAUGUUAGAAAAGUAAUAAAUUACAUAAGAUUUUAUUUUUCAUUAAAUGGGCACACACAUGUACAUAUUUAUAAAUGAUUUGUCAUUUAUUAAACAAGUAAAAAAUGCUGUAUGAUUUGUACAGAUUAAGAAAUAUACAGUCACAAUGUAAUUGUAAGAACCAUACAGUUAAAACGCGACUAAAUGUAAUUGUCAAGACUAUUACUAACAUGACGUGAAUAGCCAAACAUUUUACUUAUGUUGCCUAUCACUAUGCUAAUUUUAAUAAAUGCUUUUAUAUUAAAAUAUA